rnacentral:rRNA from 1 species
GACGUAGGUGGCGAACGUUAUCCGGAAUUAUUGGGCGUAAAGGGUGCGUAGGUGGCAAGGUAAGUUUGAUGUGAAAUCUCCGGGCUUAACCCGGAAACUGCAUUGAAUACUAUCUCGCUCGAGAGUUGGAGGGGAGACUGGAAUACUUGGUGUAGCAGUGAAAUGCGUAGAUAUCAAGUGGAACACCAGUGGCGAAGGCGAGUCUCUGGACAACUUCUGACACUGAGGCACGAAAGCUAGGGGAGCAAACAGG